rnacentral:rRNA from 1 species
AAUGAACGUUGGCGGCGUGGAUUAGGCAUGCAAGUCGUGCGCGAACUGUAGCAAUACAGGGGGAGCGGCGAAAGGGAGAGUAAUACAUGGUUAGCUACCCUCGGGACUGGGAUAGCGGCGGGAAACUGCCGGUAAUACCAGAUGACAUCUUCGGAUCAAACGUGUGAAUCGGCCCGCGGAGGCGACCAGGUCCUAUCAGCUUGUUGGCGGGGUAACGGCCCACCAAGGCAAAGACGGGUAUGGGGCGUGAGAGCGUGCCCCCACUCACUGGGACUGAGAACUGCCCAGACACCUACGGGUGGCUGCAGUCGAGAAUCUUCGGCAAUGGGCGCAAGCCUGACCGAGCGACGCCGCGUGCGGGAUGAAGGCCUUCGGGUUGUAAACCGCUGUCGUAGGGGAGGAAGGCUCCGUGCAGAACGGAGUUUGACCGAUCCUAGGAGGAAGGGCCGGCUAAUCUCGUGCCAGCAGCCGCCGUAAGAC